rnacentral:rRNA from 1 species
GAUGAACGCUAGCUACAGGCUUAACACAUGCAAGUCGAGGGGUAACGAGAGGAAAGCUUGCUUUCCUUGUCGACGACCGGCGCACGGGUGAGUAACGCGUAUCCAACCUGCCCCCAACUAGGGAAUAACCUUGCGAAAGUAAGACUAAUACCCUAUAAUUUCCUCAGAUGCCAUCUGACGAGGAAUAAAGAUUUAUCGGUUGUGGAUGGGGAUGCGUCUGAUUAGCUUGUUGGCGGGGUAACGGCCCACCAAGGCAACGAUCAGUAGGGGUUCUGGCAGGAAGGUCCCCCACAUUGGAACGGAGACACGGUCCAAACUCCUACGGUAGGCAGCAGUGAGGAAUAUUGGUCAAUGGGCGGAAGCCUGAACCAGCCAAGUAGCGUGCAGGAUGACGGCCCUAUGGGUUGUAAACUGCUUUUAUACAGGAAUAAAGUUAGCCACGUGUGGUUAUUUGUAGGUACUGUAUGAAUAAGGACCGGCUAAUUCCGUGCCAGCCGCCGCGGUAA